CAUGUAAUAACAGAUGUACUUGAGGCAUGGGGUGGAAAAACAUGCAACGUGUUACUCUCAAAGAUCAGUGCCUAUAAGCUCUUUUACUGGGACAUAAAGCAACUUGGUCCAGACAUGGAGUUGGAAAGCGAGUCAAUCAACGCUUAUCUUCACCUCCU